UACGUAGGGGGCUAGCGUUGUCCGGAAUCAUUGGGCGUAAAGAGCGUGUAGGCGGUCCGGUAAGUCGGUUGUGAAAGCCCAGGGCUCAACCCUGGGAUGCCGACCGAUACUGUCGGACUAGAGUUCGGAAGAGGCGAGUGGAAUUCCCGGUGUAGCGGUGAAAUGCGCAGAUAUCAGGAGGAACACCGGUGGUGAAGGCGGGUCUCUGGGCCGUAACUGACGCUGAGGAGCGAAAGCGUGGGGAGCGAACAGG
rnacentral:rRNA from 1 species